rnacentral:tRNA from 1 species
GUCCGGCUGGCUCAGUUGGUAGAGCAUGGGACUCUCGAUCUCGGGGUCAUGAUUCGAGCCCCAUGUUGGGCA